rnacentral:rRNA from 1 species
GAUGAACGCUAGCGGCAGGCCUAAUACAUGCAAGCCGGACGGCAAGUUGAGUAGCAAUACUUGACCUAGAGUGGCGUAAGGGUGCGUAACACGUAUGCAAUCUGCCCACAGCCGGGAGAUAGCCCUCCGAAAGGAGGAUUAAUAUCCCAUAGGAAGAUGAGAUGGCAUCAUUUUAUUUUUAAACUACGGGGCUGUGGAUGAGCAUGCGGUUGAUUAGCUAGUUGGCGGGUAAGCCACCAAGGCGAUGAUCAAUAGGGGACCUGAGAGGUGAUCCCCCACACUGGCACUGAGAUACGGGCCAGACUCCUACGGGAGGCAGCAGUA